rnacentral:rRNA from 1 species
UGCAAGUCGAACGGUAACAGGAAGAAGCUUGCUUCUUUGCUGACGAGUGGCGGACGGGUGAGUAAUGUCUGGGAAACUGCCUGAUGGAGGGGGAUAACUACUGGAAACGGUAGCUAAUACCGCAUAACGUCGCAAGACCAAAGAGGGGGACCUUCGGGCCUCUUGCCAUCGGAUGUGCCCAGAUGGGAUUAGCUAGUAGGUGGGGUAACGGCUCACCUAGGCGACGAUCCCUAGCUGGUCUGAGAGGAUGACCAGCCACACUGGAACUGAGACACGGUCCAGACUCCUACGGGAGGCAGCAGUGGGGAAUAUUGCACAAUGGGCGCAAGCCUGAUGCAGCCAUGCCGCGUGUAUGAAGAAGGCCUUCGGGUUGUAAAGUACUUUCAGCGGGGAGGAAGGGAGUAAAGUUAAUACCUUUGCUCAUUGACGUUACCCGCAGAAGAAGCACCGGCUAACUCCGUGCCAGCAGCCGCGGUAAUACGGAGGGUGCAAGCGUUAAUCGGAAUUACUGGGCGUAAAGCGCACGCAGGCGGUUUGUUAAGUCAGAUGUGAAAUCCCCGGGCUCAACCUGGGAACUGCAUCUGAUACUGGCAAGCUUGAGUCUCGUAGAGGGGGGUAGAAUUCCAGGUGUAGCGGUGAAAUGCGUAGAAAUCUGGAGGAAUACCGGUGGCGAAGGCGGC